rnacentral:tRNA from 1 species
GUGGUGGCUCAGUUGGUAGAGUGCUUGCCUAACACAUGUGAGGUACUGGGUUUGAGUCUCAGCACCACA